ACGACUACACUCCUACGGGAGGCAGCAGUGGGGAAUAUUGCACAAUGGGCGCAAGCCUGAUGCAGCAACGCCGCGUGAGGGACGAAGGCCUUCGGGUUGUAAACCUCUUUUAGCAGGGAAGAGGCGAGAGUGACGGUACCUGCAGAAAAAGCACCGGCUAACUACGUGCCAGCAGCCGCGGUAAUACGUAGGGUGCAAGCGUUGUCCGGAAUUAUUGGGCGUAAAGAGCUCGUAGGCGGUUUGUCACGUCUGCUGUGAAAACCCGAGGCUCAACCUCGGGCUUGCAGUGGGUACGGGCAGACUAGAGGGCGGUAGGGGAGAUUGGAAUUCCUGGUGUAGCGGUGGAAUGCGCAGAUAUCAGGAGGAAAACCGAUGGCGAAGGCAGAUCUCUGGGCCGUAACUGACGCUGAGGAGCGAAAGCAUGGGGAGCAAACAGGAUUAGAUACCCCAGUAGUCCACCAAUCC
rnacentral:rRNA from 1 species